rnacentral:tRNA from 1 species
GCCUUCGUCGUGUAACGGUAGAACACUCGGCGCGUAUUUAAGAGGUUCAGGUUCGAGUCCCGGCGAAGGCA